AUCCCACGUAACAGAUGAGGACUUCAAAUUUGUCAUGCUACAUGAUAAAAGCAGAUUGACCCUCAACGCACAUAUUUAUGGUGCGCGACCGUUCCGUGCACCCGAAAGCACACCAUAUGCCAUCCAACGGUCAAACUACGAUGACCAACCUGCUACACACCCAUAUAUACAACAAACAGAAAACAAUUGUACCAACCAUCCACCACAGACCGAAGAAAAUCAGG